rnacentral:lncRNA from 1 species
GUUUGUAACCCACUUAUUAAACAAUUUAGCCCAAUUCAAGCCCACUUAACCCAACCCAACAAAAUUUAAACUAUAAUAAAAUAACCCAACCCGACCGCCCUUCCUAUUCUGUUUCUCACGCUCUCUCUCGUGACCUCGUCUGCCUCUGUGAUCCUCUUCCCUAAAGACGCAACAACCAACAACAGCCAUCCAACUCCAAUUUCUUGUCGGAAAUCGCAAACAUCCGGCCACCAAACUCAUUAGAAUCCAAACAAUGCAAGAUUCAAGACAACAGUUUUAGGCAAGCAUGUUCAUGUUAGGUUGCAAAAGAAGUGUGGAGCCGUAUAUCAUGGUGGUUAGAAUUUCGGUUCUCUGCCAUAUCGUCCUCUAUACAAGACUUUUCGAAUGUUUUGGAGAAAGUAAAGAAUAAAAUGGACCAG